GCUUACGGCCAUACCACCCUGAGCACGCCUGAUCUCGUCUGAUCUCGGAAGCUAAGCACUGUCGGGCCUGGUUAGUACUUGGAUGGGAGACCGCCUGGGAAUACCAGGUGCUGUAAGCU
rnacentral:rRNA from 1 species